CUCGGUAAGAUUUGCUUCCUCUACUGCAGAUGGAAAGCUGAAUUUUCCAGUGACUGUCCCAUGAAGUUGCCACUUCACAAGAUGUCUUGCAGCAGUCCAAUGUGCUCAUGCAUGUGAAAUCCUUGGAAAAGCACAACAGUGAGGCAAGAGCUGCUGUCAGUGAUUCCCAUUCUGGUCUUUGCAUCCCAUCUUGGAGCCAGUCUUUGCAGUGCCGGGUAUCAGAUGAUGAUGACGAUGAUGAUGAUGAUGAUGAUGAUGAUGAUGAUGAUGAUGAUGAUGGUGAUCAUAUCCAGAGAGAAGCAAAGUGAAUGUGCCCUGGACAACUUUCAGGAAGACAGUUCUGGUCUGUAGCAAUUAACACAUGGUCAUCCUCAGAAAAAGGUCCUCUCAAUUAUUUCCCAGAGAUACCCAUAACUUAAAAUGCAGGAACCAAGAGAUUUGAGCCUAGACAUUUGGAUGAAAAGCGAUUUCCACCUGGAGAAAGUCACUGCCCUUCUGUGCAGAGGGAACAUGAAGGAGAACCCACCUCUGCUGCUUUUGAAGUGCAGUGGCUUUCACUUGGAAUGGACAUCUUUACGGGUGGCACUGGGGGCUGUGCAGAGAGGACCAGGGAGAAAUUCCAGACUUCUCAGGUUCUGCCUCUGAGACAGACAGUGGUGGGAAACACAAACAAUAAAAAUCCUUGGUUCCACUUUCCUCAUCCCUUCCGGGCAAAUGGAAUCAAAUGAGGGUGAGGGUGGCUGGGGAAUAAAGCAGGGUGAGUGAAGAGAUGGGGGACUGCUCUUAGAAGCAGUGUCUGAACUCCACCCCCUCCAGGAUGAACUGGAAAGUGCUUCUUCUCCUCCCUCCCUUGACUGAUGGCUAUGGGAACUUUAGAUGGGGAAAUACGGAUAUACUGAUCUCUCAACCAAAUGUAAUUUGUAUUAAGAAUUAAGAGUUCACAAGUUAUUCUCUGUCUCUCUCUCUUUUUUUUUUUUUAAAGAAACAGCCUUGCCCUGUCACCCAGGCUGGAGUGCUGUGGUGCUAUCAUAGCUCACUGCAGCCUCAAAAUCCUGGGCUUAAGUGAUUCUCCCACCUCAGCCUCCUGAGCAGCUAGUACUACAGGCACACACUACCAUAACUGACCAAUUUUUCUGUUUUCUGAAGAGAUGAGGUUUCGCUCUGUUGACUAGACUGAUGUCAAAUUCUUGGCCUAACGUGAUUUUCUCCCUGGGCCUCCCAAAGUGCUGAGAUUAGGAGUGUGAGCCAAUGCACCCAGCCAACUUAUCCUUUUUUAUCUUCAUCACAAUCUUAUGAGGUGGGUAUCGUUAUUAGUAUUGUCAUUUAAUAGAGGAAGAGAACAAGGAUUGGGAGCGUUUAACAGCCGGCCCAGGAUGAAUGCGUCAAGUUUCAAAUCCAUGUCUCCUGAUUCCAAGUCCAUAUUUCUCACAGUCCACGUUAUAUACUCAGCAGACGCUGUUGACAGGCUCUCUGAAUCCAGGAGGCAGCUCUGAGCCUCAGGAAGGCUUAACUCAGUGCUGUAACAGGAGCUUCAGAACUGACAGGGCAAACAGUCCUCUUCAGUUAAGUAUCACUGGCCAUGUCUUACCCUCUCAGAUAAGUUGCAAAUGCUUUUUUAACUCUCUCCCUCCCACCUACUAUUAUAGAACCAUUUCUCAAAGCUUAAUUCAAGACUUUAUUUCUGUUUUCCAAUAGUUAUACACCUUAUCUCUAAGAAUAACCAUUUUUAAUGCCUUUGAUUUUUCCCACUGAGCUCUUUGCCCCACGAUUGUCCAGUAGCUGGGAAUGGAGAGUGAGUCUGCACUUUUGAUUACCUGAUAAACAGCGAUCCUUCCUCCUCCCCGAUCCCACACUCCCGGAACCCUGACUUGGUUCUCUAUCCUUGUCCUUCAGGAGAGAAUGAACCUCUCUCCAGCCCCCGGGGGCUAAGGUUUUGUCCGAGACUUAGACUCUCAGCCAUUGGUUCGGUAUUCUGACUGCGCAUUGGAACCAUCUAGGGGGCGUUAAAAAUCCCACUAACGCCAACAGGGGCUCCAGGGCUCCCUCAGGAGCUGUGGCUUGGCUGUCAUUUUUCCCUUGCCAAGUGAUUGGUGUUAGGGAUGGUCAUGUGACGCUAAACUGGCCAAUGGGGUACGAGGAUGCGAGGCUGCGAAGCUUCUGGGAAUGUUUUCCACAGCUAAAAGCAAAAAAGCUGCAAUUCAGGGGUGUUUUGUUUUUCUCCCUGGAAGUUGUUCUCUAUGUGCCCCAAAGGAAGGAGCUUAAUUUAGUUAGCAAUCUGUGGACAUUAUCGCAUUUGAUCCUCACACUACCCUUUGAGGUAGUUAAUAUUUUGGUUUUAGUUAUUAAUUUACAGACAAGGAAACUAAGGUUUCUUAAUUUUACAGACAAGGAAACUAAGGUUCACGGAAGUUUCAGUAUCUCCACACCCCCUUCAAUGACAACAGCUGAGCAGAGUCAGGGUGACCCUGGUCCUGCCUGGUUCCAAAGACCAUGAUUUUCUCACUAUUUCCCUAUUUGCAAGGUUGUGCUGGAAAGCUGUCUAAAUAAUAAAACUAAUAAAAGUCCUGGCCGGAUGCAGUGGCUCAUGCCUGUAAUCCCAGCACUUUGGGAGGCCCAGUACCAUUGUGUCUUGAAUCCAGCUUGGCCAUAAGGAAAUGGGGCGAGACUUUGUCAUGUAUGUCGCUGAAGUUCAGCUAUGCAAAAAUGUUCACCUAUCCUUGAUCAACCAGUCCAGGAACCAUCAAAGAAGAAAAUGAGAUUCGACUUAGAAGACCUGUUCUUUAUAAACCCCUGCACAGCCCUAAUGAUCAACACCACUUCCAGUGCUCAUAAAUUACUGCUUCAAUAAUUGUUCUGCAAUUCUGCCUAUUCUCAUUGAAUGCUUCGUAUAAUCCCUUUAUUUACUUUGGGCUACGAUUCAUUUUUAUCAGUGAGUAUUGUACUUGUUUCAUCUCAAAAAUCAUUCUCCUUGAGAAAAAAAAAAAGAACAGAGUUGAGGAAUCCUGCUUUCUCUUUCAUCCACAAAUGCUCUAUUGUCAGAAGGGGGCUUAUAUUUCUUGUGAACUUCUUGUGCUGAUUUUAACUUUGUAAAGUUUUCCUGUUUUCCACGUAUGAAUGAGCAUGAGAACUAUGAAAGGCAAUCAGGUAUAAGAUAUUGUCAAGUAUGUGACUUGAGGGACAAGUGAUCUAUGUGAGCCUGAAGGGAAUCCUGGGAUUGAGAGAGCAUGCAGAGAAGGCACAUAGGUGUGCUAGGGCAUGCAGGUUGUACAGAGAUGGACAGGGAGAAAAUUCGAGUGACAGAGGUUUUCUAUAUGGUGGGAGUAGUGUGGGUUGGCGUCUAUCAGGGGAGACCAACUGACCAUAUCCCUCUGUUCACUUUUAGCCAUGAGUACAAGGCUACAAGAACUCGAGAGGUCAUCUAAGUUAUUUCUGGCUCUUUCAGGUCAAAUGACUACUAGACUAUCCUGGUUUCUAAUUUGAAAUGUAUCCAAAGAAGAUUCCUGUCUCACCCUCUGCAAUCCACUUGCAUGUCUGACCACACUCGGUGCCUACACAAUCUUCACUUUGUCUAGCCUAAAUUCUUCUAACUGUGGCCUAAGGCCUUGGAAGAAUGAUGCCUCUGUGGGGUAAGAACUGCCUUCGUGGCAUAAGAAAGGCAGACCUGGGUGAUCUGGAAGGGCUGUUGCAAGGGGAUAGGAGUGCUGAGGCCUUUUCCAUUAAGAAUACACAGGACUAUGGAGACUCUUGUUUUACUAGAAACUUCUUCACAGAUACCUUAAAUUAGGAAG
rnacentral:lncRNA from 1 species